rnacentral:snRNA from 1 species
CACGUCAGAGGAUCGCGCGCUACGCACAUGGCUCUUGCCUUUUACCAGAGCCAUCCGGCGCUCGUCCUCAUACCAAAUGACACAGCUAAUUUUUGGGAACUCUUCUUCUUGGCCUUC